rnacentral:rRNA from 1 species
CCUACGGUAGGCAGCAGUGAGGAAUAUUGGUCAAUGGCCGAGAGGCUGAACCAGCCAAGUCGCGUGAGGGAAGACGGCCCUACGGGUUGUAAACCUCUUUUGUCGGGGAGCAAAGCGAACCACGUGUGGCGCCACUGAGAGUACCCGGAGAAAAAGCAUCGGCUAACUCCGGGCCAGCAGCCGCGGUAAUACGGAGGAUGCGAGCGUUCUCCGGAUUUAUUGGGUUUAAAGGGUGCGUAGGCGGAUCGUUAAGUCAGUGGUCAAAUUGAGGGGCUCAACCCCUUCCCGCCAUUGAAACUGGCGCUCUUGAGUGGAAGAGAAGUAUGCGGAAUGCGUGGUGUAGCGGUGAAAUGCAUAGAUAUCACGCAGAACUCCGAUUGCGAAGGCAGCAUACCGGCGCGCAACUGACGCUCAUGCACGAAAGCGUGGGUAUCGAACAGGAUUAGAUACCCCAGUAGUC